ACGUAGGUGGCGAGCGUUGUCCGGAAUCAUUGGGCGUAAAGAGCGCGUAGGCGGCUUUUCAGGUCCGACGUGAAAUCUCGGGGCUCAACCCCGAACGUGCAUCGGAAACCGGAUUGCUAGAGUCUGGGAGAGGAGAGUGGAAUUCCUGGUGUAGCGGUGAAAUGCGCAGAUAUCAGGAGGAACACCAGUAGCGAAGGCGGCUCUCUGGAACAGUACUGAUGCUGAGGCGCGAAAGCUAGGGGAGCAAACAG
rnacentral:rRNA from 1 species